UACCAUCAACACAUUUUUGCCAGCAAGACC
rnacentral:piRNA from 1 species